AAAGAGGAAACAUAUACCAAGGUGACAAAUAAUGUAUAAUUAACUUUUGCAGAACCCUCAAGACAUACCAGGCAGAGUGGUUUUUCAAUCUGAAUAUUAGAGGCAAGAUGACUGCCUCCAGCUGUGAUUAAAAUAGUGUCACCAGGUCUGAAAGGGAG